GGGGAAUUUUGGACAAUGGGGGCAACCCUGAUCCAGCCAUGCCGCGUGAGUGAAGAAGGCCUUCGGGUUGUAAAGCUCUUUCGGCCGGGAAGAAAUCGGCGACUCUAACAUAGUCGCUGGAUGACGGUACCGGACUAAGAAGCACCGGCUAACUACGUGCCAGCAGCCGCGGUAAUACGUAGGGUGCGAGCGUUAAUCGGAAUUACUGGGCGUAAAGCGUGCGCAGGCGGUUUUGUAAGACAGAUGUGAAAUCCCCGGGCUUAACCUGGGAACUGCGUUUGUGACUGCAAGGCUAGAGUACGGCAGAGUGGGGUGGAAUUCCACGUGUAGCAGUGAAAUGCGUAGAGAUGUGGAGGAACACCGAUGGCGAAGGCAGCCCCCUGGGCCUGUACUGACGCUCAUGCACGAAAGCGUGGGGAGCAAACA
rnacentral:rRNA from 1 species